UCAGUGAUCUUUCAGAUUUAGUGGAAAUCAUUCACAAGGUUGUAAAGCUGAUGGAUAAUCUUCAGUCUCGAGGAGCAUUGAGGGUGUCUAGAAAAUCAAGGAAAGUGAAAAAAA